UACGUAGGCAGCGAGCGUUGUUCGGAGUUACUGGGCGUAAAGCGCACGUAGGCGGUCUUUUAAGUCGGGGGUGAAAUCCUGGAGCUCAACUCCAGAACUGCCUUCGAUACUGGAAGACUCGAGUCCGGGAGAGGUGAGUGGAACUGCGAGUGUAGAGGUGAAAUUCGCAGAUAUUCGCAAGAACACCAGUGGCGAAGGCGGCUCACUGGCCCGGUACUGACGCUGAGGUGCGAAAGCGUGGGGAGCAAACAGGG
rnacentral:rRNA from 1 species